rnacentral:misc_RNA from 1 species
GAUUAGAAAAGCUUGAAGGCCUCUCUCAAGGACUAAGCAAGAAAUAAUUAUUCGAUUGUGAGGAUUUCUUUCCCCUAAUUAAUUAGCUCAUGUGUUAAUAAUUUAGUCAUGUGUUUACCCUUCUGCAUCAUUGAUACUAUUUUGUGCUCAACCAAACCACUAAAUUAAAAUCUCUGAAUAAAAGCACAAACGUCAGAAAAAUUUCUCUAAAACAAAAACUAUUCUGGGCGUCUAAAUAGAACUGCUAACCUCUAGAAACCCUUGGUGCUCUUGAGCCCCUUGGUAGCAGCAUGCUGAAAACUCUCCAAAAUUUCUAGAUCAAGAAAUCUGAAAACCUUGCAUGUUCUUGAUCAGCUUCUGCUUCUUUAUAUAUCAAUAACAUUCAUAUUUUAUUUAUGUUUUUUUUUUUGGUAAUAUAUUAUUUUAUAUUUGUAUUAAAGGUUUUUAAUCAUUAACAAAUAAAUUAUUAAUUUGUUCAAUUAUUUAAACCUAAUAAUGUUUUCAGGUAUUCACAUUGUAUUACAUUCUUGAUAAAAUAGGCCGAAUCAAAACUAGAACAAAUCGUGUUGAAUCAAGGCCCAAUCAAAAUCGUAAUCAUUAAAAAUAACUUUAAAAUUGGACUGAAACCGUCAACAAACCAAAAUCAGUUAGAAGCAGGAAAAUCCAAUUCGAUUUGGGGCUGAACUGCCAAAGGCCUUUGAAUAAGUAGUUCUGGCUUGGAAUUGGACCGUAGCUAGGCUAGCCUCAUGUCACUCUGGCAUGCGCUUACACCUUGCACAUCGACUCUAAUUACCUUUAGCGCCUUGAUGUGCCGGGGCCUUUAGCAACUGUGACUCAGUGGGAGAAUAAUGAUUGGCUCUCAGUACAAUAAAUAUUGGAUUUAAUAAUAUAUUUCAAAUAUCAUGAAAUACUUGAUAUGAAAAAUAAUAAUCAAUAACAGAUAUGUUGUCAAAUGCUUAUAAUAGUGGUAUUGCAUACUUCUGUUUAUGUGGGUUUGAGCAAUCAAGUGCAGUGUGAUAAUAAAUUUGAUAGAAUUGCUAUUGCAACUUUUUUUUUUUGGUUGCUUUUUGUUGAAUUAUUCACAUUCUAACUACUUUUGCUUUAAUAAAUUCUUUUGAGGAAUUUCAUAAAGUUAUUUUCAUUAAAGUUUGUGCAAUGGGAUGUCUAUUCCAUGAAUUAUAAAAUGAUUAGUCAAUUGUUUGUGAAUUUUGAAAAUCAAAUUUAUAGAAUAUCUAUUCUACCAAUUAAUUCUUCUAAGCUUAAAAAAUUUAGCCAAAAUUGUUCACUAACCCAUAUAAAAUAAUUAUUCUAUUAUGUACCAUUCUAUGAAUCAAACGUACUAUUAGAAUCAAUGCUUUUCCAUUCUAAUUCCAGCUCUUCCCUUUUACUAUUGUUCUUGUUAGUUGUUAUGCACAAAGUUGUGCUGUGAUUUAAUCAUUUGUUCAUGGAUUUAUAGUAAAUUUUCUGCCAUUUUCAGGUGAUUGUCUAUUAAAUUCAGCUAUGCUUUACUACAAGAUGACUACUAGCUUGGCAUGUAUUUAUUAGCUGCUGCUAUCAAGUUCUUGAUAUGCAUGCGAUAAGCAUGAUUUAUUGUCUUUCUAUGUUAGCUACUUGAUCAUAUUGUUCAACAAAUUAUUUGUUAUUGUGGUUUUAAUAUUUGUAUUUAGUUAAUCACUAUAAAUGUGGAUGUUAAUGGCAUAAAUUACAAUAAUAUUUGUAAAUGGUUUUAUUUUGAAAUUAUUUUAUAGGUAAAUUUCUCUAAAAA